rnacentral:rRNA from 1 species
AUUGAACGCUGGCGGCAGGCCUAACACAUGCAAGUCGAGCGGUAGAGAGGUGCUUGCAUCUCUUGAGAGCGGCGGACGGGUGAGUAAUGCGUAGGAAGCUACCCCGAUAGAGGGGGAUACCAGUUGGAAACGACUGUUAAUACCGCAUAAUGUCUACGGACCAAAGUGUGGGACCUUCGGGCCACAUGCUAUCGGAUGCGCCUACGUGGGAUUAGCUAGUUGUGGGGUAAUGGGCUCACCAAGGCGACGAUCCCUAGCUGGUCUGAGAGGAUGAUCAGCCACAUUGGGACUGAGACACGGUCCCAAAACUCCUACGGGAGGCAGCAGUGGGGAA